rnacentral:rRNA from 1 species
UACAGAGGGGGCAAGCGUUGUUCGGAAUUACUGGGCGUAAAGGGCGCGUAGGCGGCCUGUUAAGUCGAACGUGAAAUCCCCGGGCUCAACCCGGGAACUGCGUCCGAUACUGGCAGGCUUGAAUCCGGGAGAGGGAUGCGGAAUUCCAGGUGUAGCGGUGAAAUGCGUAGAUAUCUGGAGGAACACCGGUGGCGAAGGUGGCAUCCUGGACCGGCAUUGACGCUGAGGCGCGAAAGCCAGGGGAGCAAACGGG